rnacentral:piRNA from 1 species
UGAAGGAUUGAAGAUAUUCUAAACAGA